rnacentral:lncRNA from 1 species
UUUAAUGUGAAAAAUGUAAAACUAAAGAUUAAAUAUUCAUAUAACAAAGUUCAUCAUUUUCUCAACACAAAAAGAUCUAGCCUAACAUAACGGCGGAAUUAAAUAUAUAAAAGUGGAACCAGAUCACCAGUAAUUGAAUGGAACGUGAUUGAUUCACAAAUUGAAACUGCCGUGUUUCCGCCUUCUCGUGUCUGCCUCAGCCGCCCACUUUUAUUGCCAAUUAAAAAGUCCAAUUCCAGCCUCCCAAUAUCUUUUCUAUGCGUGUAUAUAUGAUUCAAUUCAGCUGCUUUCAUUUUCUGUAAUUCCAGCCUUCCUUUUAAUCCCCCAAAGCAGCUGGCCGAUUUUAUUAUUUCAGCGACUCAAUUUCCGGCCAGCCUCCUUCUCUCGGUUUUCAGCGUGUAUAUAUAUAGAGAAUAAAAUCUAGCCGCCAUCCAAUUUUUCUUUUGGAAUUAGAAUUCUUGUUCUCAUAAAAUUCUAGCCGUCCCAUGUCUUUAAUUCCAGUUAUCAGCCUGC